rnacentral:rRNA from 1 species
AUACGGAGGGUGCAAGCGUUAAUCGGAAUUACUGGGCGUAAAGCGUACGUAGGCGGUCCGUUAAGUUAGAUGUGAAAGCCCCGGGCUUAACCUGGGAACUGCAUUUAAAACUGGCGGACUAGAGUUGAGUAGAGGGGAGUGGAAUUUCAGGUGUAGCGGUGAAAUGCGUAGAGAUCUGAAGGAACACCAGUGGCGAAGGCGACUCCCUGGACUCGAACUGACGCUGAGGUACGAAAGCGUGGGUAGCAAGCGGGAUUAGAUACCCUAGUAGUCC